rnacentral:rRNA from 1 species
AUUGAACGCUGGCGGCAGGCCUAACACAUGCAAGUCGAACGAGUGGCGGACGGGUGAGUAAUGUCUGGGAAACUGCCUGAUGGAGGGGGAAAACUACUGGAAACGGUAGCUAAUACCGCAUACCAUCAGAUGGGCCCAGAUGGGAUUAGCUAGUAGGUGGGGUAAAGGCGCACCUAGGCGACGAUCCAUAGCUGGUAUCAUAGGAUGACAAGCCACACGGGAACUGCGACACGGUCCAGAAUCCUACGUGAGGCAGCAGUGGGGAAUAUUGCACAAUGGGCGCAAGCCUGAUGCAGCCCUGCCGCGUGUAUGACGAAGGCCUUCGGGUUGUAAAGUACUUUCAGCGGGGCGGCGUUACCCGCAGAAGAAGCACCGGCUAACUCCGUGCCAGCAGCCGCGGUAAUUC